rnacentral:rRNA from 1 species
AGUGAACGCUGGCGGUAGGCCUAACACAUGCAAGUCGAACGGCAGCACAGUAAGUGCUUGCUCUUACGGGUGGCGAGUGGCGGACGGGUGAGGUAUAUAACGGAAUCUACUUUUUCGUGGGGGAUAACGUAGGGAAACUUACGCUAAUACAGCAUACGACCUACGGGUGAAAGCAGGGGAUCUUCGCACCUUGCGCGAUUGAAUGAGCGGAUGUUGGUGUGGCUAGUUGGCGGGGUAAAGGCCCACCCAGGCGCCGAUCGGUAGCUGGUCGGAGUGGAGGAUCAGCGGCACGGGAACGGGAACACGGUCCAGGCUCCUGCGGGACGCAGCAGUGGGGAAUAUUAGACAAUGGGCGCAAGCCUGAUCCAGCCAGACCGCGUGGGUUGAGGAGGCGUUCGGGUUGUAAAGCCCGUUUGUGGGUUGUGAAAAGCAGCAGGUUAAGACCCCGCGGUUCUGACGGUACCCGGAGAAUAAGCACCGGCUAACUUCGUG